rnacentral:rRNA from 1 species
ACAAGCGGUGGAUGAUGUGGCUUAAUUCGAGGCUACGCGAAAAACCUUAUCCUAGUCUUGACAUGCACGGAUCAACCCGGUGAAAGCCGGGCCACGCCUUCGGGUGGAACGUGCACAGGUGCUGCAUGGCUGUCGUCAGCUCGUGUCGUGAGAUGUCGGGCUAAGUCCCUU